rnacentral:rRNA from 1 species
AAGUCUGGUGCCAGCAGCCGCGGUAAUUCCAGCUCCAAUAGCGUAUAUUUAAAUUGUUGCGUCUAAAAAGCUCGUAGUUUGAAAACUUGCCUUGGCUUACAUCAGAUUCCCAAAUGGGGGUCGCCGUUUGUUGAGUGCAAAUAUCGAUGACUGUUUUUGCCGACUUGAAUGUCCGGCUUAUAAGAGUUAUCAAAUAUCACUUUGAUUAAAUUAGAGUGCUUAAAGCAAGUGUGACACUUGGAUAUAAAUGCAUGGAAUGAUGGAAUAUGUUGUUGUUCUAUUUGUUGGUUUUUGAACGAUAAAAUGAUUGAAAGGAACUGUUGGGGGCAUUCGUAUUGUUGUGAGAGAGGUGAAAUUCUUAGACCACAGCAAGACGAACUACUGCGAAAGCAUUUGCCAAGAAUGUUUUCAUUGAUCAAGAACGAAAGUUAGAGGUUCGAAGGCGAUCAGAUACCGCCCUAGUUCUAACCAUAACCGAUGC